rnacentral:rRNA from 1 species
AUUGAACGCUGGCGGCAUGCCUUACACAUGCAAGUCGAACGGCAGCACGGGUGCUUGCACCUGGUGGCGAGUGGCGAACGGGUGAGUAAUACAUCGGAACGUACCUUAUCGUGGGGGAUAACGCAGCGAAAGUUGCGCUAAUACCGCAUACGCCCUGAGGGGGAAAGCGGGGGACCGUAAGGCCUCGCGCGAUUAGAGCGGCCGAUGUCUGAUUAGCUUGUUGGUGAGGUAAAAGCUCACCAAGGCGAUGAUCAGUAGCUGGUCUGAGAGGACGAUCAGGCAGACUGGGACUGAGACACGGCCCAGACUCCGACGGGAGGCAGCAGUGGGGAAUUUUGGACAAUGGGGGCAACCCUGAUCCAGCAAUGCCGCGUGAGUGAAGAAGGCCUUCGGGUUGUAAAGCUCUUUUGUCAGGGAAGAAACAGCAGCUCUAACACAGUCUGCGAAUGACGGUACCUGAAGAAUAAGCACCGGCUAACUACGUGCCAGCCGCCGCGGUAA